UACGAAGGGGGCUAGCGUUGCUCGGAAUCACUGGGCGUAAAGGGUGCGUAGGCGGGUCUUUAAGUCAGGGGUGAAAUCCUGGAGCUCAACUCCAGAACUGCCUUUGAUACUGAAGAUCUUGAGUCCGGGAGAGGUGAGUGGAACUGCGAGUGUAGAGGUGAAAUUCGUAGAUAUUCGCAAGAACACCAGUGGCGAAGGCAGCUCACUGGCCCGAUACUGACGCUGAGGCACGAAAGCGUGGGGAGCAAACAGG
rnacentral:rRNA from 1 species